rnacentral:rRNA from 1 species
GGCGGUCUUAUAAGCGUGACGUGAAAUGCAGCGGCUCAACCGUAUGAUGUGCGUCGCGAACUGUGAGACUUGAGUGUAUUCGAUGUCAGCGGAAUUUGUGGUGUAGCGGUGAAGUGCUUAGAUAUCACGAAGAACUCCGAUUGCGAAGGCAGCUGACAAGGCUACAACUGAUGCUAAAGCUCGAAAGUGCGGGUAUCGAACAGGAUUAGAUACCCUGGUAGUCCGCACGGUAAACGAUGGAUGCCCGGUGUUUGCGAUAUACAGUGAGCGCCCAAGCGAAAGCGUUAAGCAUCCCACCUGGGGAGUACGCCGGCAACGGUGAAACUCAAAGGAAUUGACGGGGGCCCGCACAAGCGGAGGAACAUGUGGUUUAAUUCGAUGAUACGCGAGGAACCUUACCCGGGCUUGAACUGUAGGCGAACGAUCCAGAGAUGGUGAGGCCCUUCGGGGCGCCUAUGGAGGUGCUGCAUGGUUGUCGUCAGCUCGUGCCGUGAGGUGUCGGCUUAAGUGCCAUAACGAGCGCAACCCCUCUCUUCAGUUGCCAUCAGGUUAUGCUGGGCACUCUGGAGACACUGCCACCGUAAGGUGUGAGGAAGGUGGGGAUGACGUCAAAUCAGCACGGCCCUUACGUCCGGGGCUACACACGUGUUACAAUGGGUGGUACAGAGAGUUGUGUGUACGCAAGUGCAUUCUAAUCAAGAAAGCCAUCCUCAGUUCGGACUGGGGUCUGCAACCCGACCCCACGAAGCUGGAUUCGCUAGUAAUCGCAGGUCAGCAUACUGCGGUGAAUACGUUCCCGGGCUUGUACACACCGCC